UACACUCCUACGGGAGGCAGCAGUGGGGAAUUUUGGACAAUGGGCGAAAGCCUGAUCCAGCAAUGCCGCGUGUGUGAAGAAGGCCUUCGGGUUGUAAAGCACUUUUGUCCGGAAAGAAAUCCUUGGCUCUAAUACAGUCGGGGGAUGACGGUACCGGAAGAAUAAGCACCGGCUAACUACGUGCCAGCAGCCGCGGUAAUACGUAGGGUGCGAGCGUUAAUCGGAAUUACUGGGCGUAAAGCGUGCGCAGGCGGUUUGCUAAGACCGAUGUGAAAUCCCCGGGCUCAACCUGGGAACUGCAUUGGUGACUGGCAGGCUAGAGUAUGGCAGAGGGGGGUAGAAUUCCACGUGUAGCAGUGAAAUGCGUAGAGAUGUGGAGGAAUACCGAUGGCGAAGGCAGCCCCCUGGGCCAAUACUGACGCUCAUGCACGAAAGCGUGGGGAGCAAACAGGAUUAGAAACCCGGGUAGUCCCAUGA
rnacentral:rRNA from 1 species